rnacentral:rRNA from 1 species
AGGACGAACGCUGGCGGCGUGCUUAACACAUGCAAGUCGAACGGACUCCAUUCACUCGCAAGAGUGAUGAAGAGUCAGUGGCGAACGGGUGAGUAACACGUGAGAAACCUAUCCUGGUCUCUGGGAUAACAGCCGGAAACGGCUGCUAAUACCGGAUGCCGUCGGAGCGUCGCAUGGCGCGCUGACGAAAGGGUUACUGGAUCGAGGAGGUCUCGCGGCCUAUCAGCUAGGUUGGUAGGGGUAACCGGCCUAACCAAGGCAGUCGACGGUAGCUGGUCUGAGAGGAUGGAUCAGCCACACGUGGGACUAGGACACCGACCGGCCCGACGUACCUACCGGUACGGGA